rnacentral:rRNA from 1 species
UACGUAGGGGGCAAGCGUUGUCCGGAUUUAUUGGGCGUAAAGAGCGUGUAGGCGGCCAGACAGGUCAGCUGUGAAAACUCGAGGCUCAACCUCGAGACGUCGGUUGAAACCGUAUGGCUAGAGUCCGGAAGAGGAGAGUGGAAUUCCCGGUGUAGCGGUGAAAUGCGCAGAUAUCGGGAAGAACACCCGUGGCGAAGGCGGCUCUCUGGGACGGUACUGACGCUGAGACGCGAAAGCGUGGGGGAGCGAACAGG